UGUGGCGCGGGCUCGGGUGGGCGGAACCAUCCGCCGCAGGCCGGCGGGGAGGGCGGGCCGAACCAUCGCCGGGGGGAGCGCGGGCUUCCCCGGGGCGCGACCUGCCGCAGACUUGUGUAGCUCCCUGUAACGUUCCUCUGUAGCUGUAUAACCAGGCUCCACACCUAGCAUGGAGCCGGAUGUGGGGCUUGAACUCACCACCCUGAGAUCAAGACCUGAGCUGAGAUCAAGAGAUGGAGAAUCAGCUGACUGAGCCAUCCAGGCGCCCCAUCUGUCCAUUUUUUAAUAAGAUUGUUGUUUUUUUGUUACUGCCUUUUAUGAGUUCUCUACAUAUUUUCAGUAUUAACCCCUCACCAGAUACAUGAUUUGCAAAUAUUCUCUCUCAUUCCAUAGGUUGUCUUUUCAUUUUGUUGAUGGUCUCAUUUCCUGUGCAGAAGCUUUUCAGUUUGAUGUAGUCCUGAUACUUUAUCUUUGCUUUUGUUGCCUUUGCUUUUGGUGUCCAAUCCAAAUAUUCAUUACCAACACUGAUGUCAGGUUGCUUACCAUGUAUGUUUUCUUCCAGGACUUCCAUAGUUUCAGGGCUUGCAUUCAAGUGUUCAGUGAGUUUUUAUGUAUGGUGUAAGACAGUGCUCUAAUUUCUCCCUCUUUCUUUCUCGCUCCUUCCUUUUUUCCUUUCUUUCUUUCCAGCUUUCCCAAUUCUAUAUUCUUGCCUCCUUUGUCAUAAAUUAAUUAAUAUUCUAUGUGUGGCCUUAUUCCUGGGCUCUCUGUUCUGUUCCAAUGAUCUGUGUGUGUGUCUGGUUUUAUGCUACCACACUGUUUUGAUUAGUAUAACAUUGUAAUGUAGUUUGAAAUCAGGGAGGGUGAUACCUUUGGAUUUAUUCUUUUUCAAGAUUGCUUUGGCUAUUCCAGACCUUCUGUGGUUCCAUACAAACUUUAAGAUUGUUGGUUCUCUUCUCUGAACACUGUUCCUGAGAUUUGGAUGGGGCUUGGAUCUAAUGGGGUACGGAUCUGUAUAUUGCUUUGGAUAAUAUGGAUAUUUUAACAAGAGCACAGAAUGUCUUUCCAUAUCUUUCCCUCUUCUACAGUUUCUUUGAUGAAUGACAUAGUUUUCUGUGUAGAUUUCCUUCUGUUCUAAGGCUGAAUAAUAUUUCGUGGUCUGGAUAUACUAUAUUUUGCUUAUCCCUUCGUCUGUCAAUGGGCACUUGUAUUAUUUUCAACCCUUGACUAUUGUGAAUAAUGCUGCUAGGAACAUGGAUAUACAAAAAAAAAUUUUUUUUAAUUGUUUUUAAGGGAUGCUGGGGUGGCUCAGCCUUGAAGCAUCCGCCUUCAAUUCAGAUCAUGAUCCCAAGUUCCUGGGAUCAAGUCCCACAUCAGACUCCCUGCUUAGCCGGAAGCCUGCUUCGCCCUCUCCCUCUGCUCUCCCUUCUUGUUCUCUCCCUUUCUGUCAAAUAAAUAAAUAAAAUAUCUUUAAAAAAAUUGUUUUUAAGCACAUGGAUACAUAAAUAUCUGUUCCAGUUCGUGAGUCCCUGAUUUCAGUUCUUUCAGGUGUGUAUCCAGAAGUGGGAUUGUUGGAUCACAUGGUGGUUCUAUUUUUAAUUUUUUGAGGAACUGCCAUCCUGGUUUUCACCGUGGAUACACCAUUUUAUAUUCCCAUCAGCAGUGCCCAAGGGCUCCAAUUUCUCCAAAUCUUCACCAACACUCAUUUUCUGGUUUUGUUUCUGGAGUAGCCAUUCUAGAGGGUGUGCGAGGAUCUCGUGAUUUUUAAAAGACCACUUGGUUCUGAGCUUCUUGAUCUCUCUCUCUCCCUCCCUUCUACUCUCUGAAAUACUCAAGAGGUUAAAUGUAUCAGAGGGGCACUUGGUAAACAUGAAGAAUUGGGAAAUUUAGACUUACCGUCGCCAGAGCAGUUGGAACAAGUCCCUUCACCGCCUGAAGCUCUCGCAGCCGGAGACCACCCCGCCUCUCUCCUCUGCGGGCUUUAUGCUCAUCGACACAUACGGCAUCAGACAGUAAAACCAAGAAACCGCU